AUGUUUUGGCAGCACAAAUUGUUGUUGCGGACGAGGCGGCAUCCCCGUGCCGUGGUGGUGGGGAGCCCCUCCGGUAUGGGGCGAAGGAGGCAGGGCUCCUGGCGGGCGGCCUGCACGCGCAGGAGAUGGGUUGACACAGAAGUGGCCUGCUCAGGGUCGUCGGCGGCUCUUGCCGGGGCGGGGGCGUGGAUCAGCGCCGAGGCCCCCUCGGGGCUCCGGAUCCAGAGUGGUCGUGUGGGCCACGCCUUGCUGCCGGGCUUUGCUGGGGCGGAUGCCGCUCGGCUUGAGGUUGUUGGUGCUAGCAUGCGUGUGGCUGCAGGUGGCGCAAGGAGGAUGCGAGAGCUCGUCUGUUUCUGUAGAAAUCAAUGGCCUGCUUGUGACACUGUUCUUCAGGCUCUCUGUGCUUCUUUAUGA
rnacentral:rRNA from 1 species